GGAUUGAAAUGGGGGCACCCUGAUCCAGCCAUNCCGCGUGUGUNAAGAAGGCCUUCGGGUUGUCNAGCACUUUCGGACGGAACGAAAUCGCGCGAUCUAAUAAGUCGCGUGGAUGACGGUACCGUAAGAAGAAGCACCGGCUAACUACGUGCCAGCAGCCGCGGUAAUACGUAGGGUGCGAGCGUUAAUCGGAAUUACUGGGCGUAAAGUGUGCGCAGGCGGCAAGGCAAGUCGAGUGUGAAAGCCCCGGGCUUAACUUGGGAAUUGCGCUCGAAACUACUUUGCUGGAGUGUGGCAGAGGAAGGUGGAAUUCCACGUGUAGCGGUGAAAUGCGUAGAGAUGUGGAGGAACACCAAUGGCGAAGGCAGCCUUCUGGGCCAACACUGACGCUCAUGCACGAAAGCGUGGGGAGCAAACAGGAUUAGAUACCCUGGUAGUCCACGCCCUAAACGAUGACGACUAGUUGUUGGAGGAGUUAAAUCCUUUAGUAACGCAGCUAACGCGCGAAGUCGUCCGCCUGGGGAGUACGGUCGCAAGAUUAAAACUCAAAAAAAUUGACGGA
rnacentral:rRNA from 1 species